CCCGGUGAUUUCCACAUUUCAGCAUCUCCCUGUAGGCAGUCAUCUUUUUCCUGGUUCUCCAGUGGGCAGAGACUCAUUGGGUUCCACCAGCGUGGAACCUUAGCAAAUAUCUCCAUCACCCAGUGGGCAUGGCUAUACUGUCUUCAACAAGUUAUUUCCGGAGGACCUACUGAGAUCUGCUCACUGGAAUGUAUUCAUAGGAGCCUACAGAGACAUGCAGUUUGUGAGCACGCCUCAUCGGGACCCCGUGGGUCAGAGCUUACCUUGUCUGGGUCCCUCUGGGAACAGGAGAUUUUUGGAAAUGCUAACUCCGUUAUUCCAAAAGUGCUUUUGUGUCCGGAAUUUGU